GUGCUCACUUUGGCAGCACAUAUACUAAAAUUGGAAUGAUACAGAGAUUAGCAUGACCCCUGUGCAGAGAUGGCACUCAAAUUCAUGAAGUGUUCCAUAUUUUA
ensembl:snRNA RNU6-251P RNA, U6 small nuclear 251, pseudogene